rnacentral:rRNA from 1 species
AUUUGUCUGGUUAAUUCCGAUAACGAACGAGACCUUAACCUGCUAACUAGUUCUCAAUACUCUGUAUUCUGCAACUUCUUAGAGGGACUAUGUAAAUCAAUUACAUGGAAGUUUGAGGCAAUAACAGGUCAGUGAUGCCCUUAUAUGUCCUGGGCUGCACGCGUGCUACACUGAUGCAUACAACAAGUGCCUAGCCAGACAUGGUAUGGCAAUCUCGAAUAUGCAUCGUGAUGGGGAUAGAUCUUUGCAAUUAUAGAAUCUUGAACGAGGAAUUCCUAGUAAGUGCAAGUCAUCAUCUUGCAUUGAUUAUUGUCCCUGCCCUUUGUACACACCGCCCGUCGUUCCUACCGAUACCGGGUGAUCCGGUGAACCUUUUGGACUCCGUCCGGGGGAAGAUAAGUAAACCAUAUCACCUAGAGGAAGGAGAAGUCGUAACAAGGUUUCCGUAGGUGAACCUGCRGAAGGAUCA